rnacentral:lncRNA from 1 species
CUGGAAACAUGUGGUAAUUAUGUCUGCAGAUUUUGUUCUUGGUGUAUCCUCUAAUUCUGUUUUAUUUGAAAUUUUAGAUGGACUCAAAGCUUCAGUCCCAGAUUUACAGCAACAUGGUGUGCUGUUGAUUUUUCACAAAGAAGUCACCAGAAACAUAGCUCCGAGAAGCUUUUGCUCUGAAAGAAAUGACGUGAUUGCAGUUCAGAAGCUAAGGAAGCUGCCAAAAAACAUAAGUUGAUCUGUAAACAUGACUGUCAGCAGUGUUUUGUGAAUGCUAGAGACUGACUGAUGACACUGGGGUGCUACUGGGUGCAGAUGUCAGAGAAGGAAUCCAUUGGCAUAAAGGAUAUUACCGUACGUAAAUAAAAGCAAUAAACAAAUUUAAUGAUGGGAAUAA